CACGAGAUGUUGCCUAACAAUUGACAGAGUAAAAUGGCAGACUUACCCGUCUAGGCUCCUUAUGAACAACUCUAAUUUCUCUGAACCCAAUGAAAGGACGAAAAAGAUCUAAAUUCGAAAUCAAGGAAUAAGAACAGAAAAGAAGCUUAAUAAUUAGAUAGAUACAGUCAAAAUAUUUCUGAAAAUGGGAAACGAAUUUUACUUAUGGCCCAGACACCAACGAGAAGUUAGUCAUGCAGAGAUACAGCAUAUAAUUAUAAUAUAAAAAAGAAGGAUACGGCCUACUUCUCUUCUGGUACAGUCAUGUGGGAGCCCAUCGACAAAUAAAACAUUUGACUCUUUCUUUAAAGCUGGAACUGGAACCGGAAGGUCAUCGAUAUUUCCAUAAGAGGCAGGCCUUUCAUUUAAUACGCCGGGGAGAGUUGAACCCAAAGGAACAUCUCCUCUCGGAGCAAGUAAACUCGGAUCUUCUACAGAAGGUGUGUAGCUUCUCAUGCUUGUUCCAGUCAUAUAUCCACCCGGAGCAGGAUCUGAACGAACACCAACACCAUCAUUUACACCAUAAGCUCUACUACGCAAUGGCAAGAUCUGCACAUUAAUUCACAGGCAUUCAAACUUUAAUCUAUUCAAAAUACAAUUUAUGGUAUGUUAUGAAAUAACGCUCUGGUAUUACAGGUAANUCAUCCCUAGCGCACACAUUUAAGGAUCGAAUCCCUGACCUUUGGGAACUAAGAAUGAGGGGUAUUCAUUAUUGAAUUUCUUAGCAACCGAACAGCUAUUACAAAACUUGAACAGCCAUUACAAAACUAAAAUACAAUUGUGCAGAGUAAUAUGAUUAUAGGUACAAUUACAAUACUAGUUUGUGAGAAAAAGCAACCAACUUUUGCCUGCUUCCUAUUUUAUGGUUUAAUCAUUGUCUUCCUUGUAAAUAUAAGAAAGAAAGUUAUACCAUUAAAAUCCUCAAAUAAACUUGCUUUCUUGUUGGUACCAUUUACACGAUAUUACUACAAAUGUUUCUAACUAAACAUCAAUUUUACGUACUUAAAUGGUAGAGUGGGGGGAAUAAAUUGUGGUAGUUGCAAAAAAGGGCAUAAACUUAAUUGUUAUUUUUUGAUAAUAUUGUUUAAUAAUCACAGCAGGAUACAUAUGUAAGCACGAGAUGUUGCCUAACAAUUGACAGAGUAAAAUGGCAGACUUACCCGUCUAGGCUCCUUAUGAACAACUCUAAUUUCUCUGAACCCAAUGAAAGGACGAAAAAGAUCUAAAUUCGAAAUCAAGGAAUAAGAACAGAAAAGAAGCUUAAUAAUUAGAUAGAUACAGUCAAAAUAUUUCUGAAAAUGGGAAACGAAUUUUACUUAUGGCCCAGACACCAACGAGAAGUUAGUCAUGCAGAGAUACAGCAUAUAAUUAUAAUAUAAAAAAGAAGGAUACGGCCUACUUCUCUUCUGGUACAGUCAUGUGGGAGCCCAUCGACAAAUAAAACAUUUGACUCUUUCUUUAAAGCUGGAACUGGAACCGGAAGGUCAUCGAUAUUUCCAUAAGAGGCAGGCCUUUCAUUUAAUACGCCGGGGAGAGUUGAACCCAAAGGAACAUCUCCUCUCGGAGCAAGUAAACUCGGAUCUUCUACAGAAGGUGUGUAGCUUCUCAUGCUUGUUCCAGUCAUAUAUCCACCCGGAGCAGGAUCUGAACGAACACCAACACCAUCAUUUACACCAUAAGCUCUACUACGCAAUGGCAAGAU
rnacentral:lncRNA from 1 species